UACAGAGACUGCAAGCGUUAUUCGGAUUCACUGGGCGUAAAGGGUGCGCAGGCGGCCAAGUGUGUUAGGCGUGAAAGCCCGGGGCUUAACCCCGGAAUUGCACCUAAAACUACAUGGCUAGAGCAUUGGAGAGGGUAGCGGAAUUCACGGUGUAGCAGUGAAAUGCGUAGAUAUCGUGAGGAACACCAGAGGCGAAGGCGGCUACCUGGACAAUGACUGACGCUAAAACACGAAAGCGUGGGGAGCGAACAGG
rnacentral:rRNA from 1 species